rnacentral:rRNA from 1 species
UACGCUGUUAUCCCUAAAGUAACUUUUUCUUUUAAUCUUAAAAUAAAAUAAGGAUCAUAUAUAUACUCUAAUUACAAUUAUUUUAAAUAUAAGACAGUUAUUUUUAUAUCUUCCUCCCCCCAACGAAACAGAAUUAAAAAUAAUUAACUUUAAUUUUACUUAAUAAAUUAUUUUCAUCUUGGAAAGGUUUAAAGGGUCUUAUCGUCCCUUUAAAAUAUUUAAGCCUUUUCACUUAAAAGUAAAAUUCAACUUUUAUAAAAAAGACAGAUUAUUUUUUGGUCAAUCAUUCAUUCCAGUUUCCAAUUAAAAA